AGAGUUUGAUCAUGGCUCAGGAUCAACGGGAGGGGCAGGCCUAACACAUGCAAGUCGAGGGGUACAGUUCUUCGGGACUUGAGACCGGCGCACGGGUGCGUAACGCGUAUGCAAUCUACCUUAUACAGGGGAAUAGCCCAGAGAAAUUUGGAUUAAUGCCCCAUAGUGUUAUCGAAUCGCAUGGUUUGAUAACUAAAGUUCCAACGGUAUAAGAUGAGCAUGCGUCCCAUUAGUUAGUUGGUAAGGUAACGGCUUACCAAGACAAUGAUGGGUAGGGGUCCUGAGAGGGAGAUCCCCCACACUGGUACUGAGACACGGACCAGACUCCUACGGGAGGCAGCAGUGAGGAAUAUUGGUCAAUGGGCGCAAGCCUGAACCAGCCAUGCCGCGUGCAGGAAGACGGUCCUAUGGAUUGUAAACUGCUUUUAUACAGGAAGAAACCCUCCCACGUGUGGGAGCUUGACGGUACUGUAGGAAUAAGGAUCGGCUAACUCCGUGCCAGCAGCCGCGGUAAUACGGAGGAUCCAAGCGUUAUCCGGAAUCAUUGGGUUUAAAGGGUCCGUAGGCGGCCUUAUAAGUCAGUGGUGA
rnacentral:rRNA from 1 species